AGUCUUAUAGUCAAAAAUGAUUUAAAAUUGCAAAUUUUAAGGAAAAAUUUAUUAUUUUUAAGGCUU
rnacentral:tRNA from 1 species